rnacentral:rRNA from 1 species
AUGGUGAAAUAGGCUGACAUCUGUUUGCCAAAGGAUCGAGGUGGGUUGGGUAUCACUAUGUCUCGACAUACGAACUUUGCGCUCAUGCUUCGUUGGGUUUGGCGGAUCUUGCGGGGAGAUGGGGGUUUGUGGCUGCAGCUGAUUGAGUCCAAGUAAUUGCAGGGUCAGCCCCUCUUGGCUUGCUCGCACUCGGCUGGGUCCCAGUUCUGGAAGUCUGUCUAG